UAUCAACGUGUCAUCCAGUGCAAGGUGUCAGACAGUGCUGCAGCAGAGUGAAAACAUCUGCUCGCGAGUCGUCUUUACUUUUUUCGUAGUUAAAGCUAGGCUCCGAUAAUUAAAUCUAAUAAAAAAGAAUGCGUAUUCCCUUCACAGCACUUUGAAAUUGAUGAAAAUUAUGUAUUGAAUGGUAGUGUUCGUUAUCCAAUAAUUCAUUACUGCAGGCACGAACUAUGAAUACUUCAUCCAAUAAUGCUGCAGCUGCCGGUGGAGGAGAAAAUGUAUCUCCAGGAGGACAACAGAAAUCAAUUAAAACAAACGUUUGCCUAAUUUGUGGCAUAUAUACAAACCUUUCAUUGAAUAUUUUUGAGCCCCGGAGUGGUCCUGACAUACGUGAAGUAAUUUACCAGAAAUACAACUUUAAGGCAGAGCGCAACGACAACGAGGAUAAAUAUAUAUGUUACAGUUGUAACAAUUGGCUUAUUAACUGGUACACGUUGCAAUAUCUCUCAGAAUCACAAAACUACAAACCUAUACCAUCUUCAUCGAGUCAACAACAAUCAGAAAAGCGGAGUAAAAGGUCAAAAACUGGACAUACGAAUGCUGGCCCAAGUAAAAAUAAGGAGAACCUUGAACAAGACAACUAUAUAACAUCAACGGUUACUGUGAACGAAAUGUAUUCUCGGAGGAUAAAUCAUAAAAAAUCAAUACAAUGUGUAUCGAACAAACCUGUUCAAAGAAGUAUGAUAUCAUGUAGUAGCAAUACUCCAAUUAAAUCACUUGAAAAUAAUCUUAUUCUGAUGUUAGCAAGUCAAGGAACUAGUGUAACAAAAGAAAAUGUAUCAGCACUCAGCAUAACACAAAAUAGUCAAUCAAAAACGUUUUCUUAUAUAGACGUUAUGGAAACAUCUAU